UGGGAAGGAACAGGCUUUGUCUCUCCUGCCAGUUGCUUCAUACAUUUGUGAAGAAGCAGACCUGCAUCAUAAAACCAACCGAAAGCCAUGGAGUUACCUCUCUAAAAAAUGUAAUGGACUGUACUGAAAGCCUAACUUUGACUGAUGUGAGGUUUGGGACUUCAUCCAGAAAAUGCUGGCAUGUCAUAGUCCCUCUGACGAGCAGAAUGUAAUAAGCACCAGACACUGGGAAAAUACUUCCUAUCUGUUAGAAGAAGGUGACAGUUUUCAAAUAGAUGAUACAUGAUUUAGUUUUGUUGGUCCUUUUCAAGACUGAGAUAUCAAGGCUCACAUUUGCCCGGACAUUACUAAGAGCUGCAGCUCUGGGGAUCAAGCCACAGACUCUUUACAACAGACUAAUCAAAAUUAAAAAGCCCAAACCUA